GACGAACGCUGGCGGCGUGCUUAACACAUGCAAGUCGAACGCAGUUGCGAACGGGUGAGUAACGCGUAGGUAACUACCUAUUAGAGGGGGAUAACUAUUGGAAACGAUAGCUAAUACCGCAUACUAGUAGAUGGACCUGCGUUGUAUUAGCUAGUAGGUAGGGUAAUGGCCUACCUAGGCAAAGAGACAUAGCCGACCUGGGAGGGUGAUCGACAAAACUGGGACUGGGACACGGCCCAGACUCCUACGGUAGGCAGCAGUAGGGGUUCUUCGGCAAUGGGGGGAACCCUGACCGAGCAACGCCGCGUGAGUGAAGAAGGUUUUCGGAUCGUAAAGCUCUGUUGUUAAGGAAGCGGUACUUAACCAGAAAGGGACGGCUAACUACGUGCCAGCAGCCGCGGUAAUAC
rnacentral:rRNA from 1 species